AUGUUCAAGAAAGAAAUUAGAAAAUUAAAAGCAAUAAUUACCUUGGUUUUCUCCCAGGUUGAUAAGAUGGCUCAACUAGUUACAAGAAAUUCAAUAAUAUUUUGCCUGAUUUUCUUCUUGCUGCAAGUUACCCCCCAAAUGUGUCUGGAUCGUGACAGAUGGGAAAGAAUCUUCUUCAGUGACCAGAAUCUCUGCCGACAGCCUUGGGAGCCCAAAGUAAGCUGCAUUUAUUUCCUUGGGCUCUCUGAGUACUGCGUGGAAGGAGGCUCCUCAAAAUAUUUGAGGGUUGCUUGAAUGUAAAUAUUUUGCGUGUGAAUAAUUUUCAGUUGUUUUCUUUGUUAGUAAUACUAACGUAGAUCAAAAGCCUAGGAAAAUAUACUCGUAAAAACUGUUCAAAUUCUCCGCAGAAUGUUACUGUAUUUGCUGUAUUUUAUUUGAAUGUUUUAUGGGCUAGAGAAUUUUUACAAGGAUUUUUUUCUUUGUAGUUCUGUUUAUUAUAUUAGAAAUCUGAUUUGUGAUAAUCUGAUACAGACCUCCUUUAAUCAAAUUGUACAUAAGUACUUAGACCUUCUAGAUUUCCUUCAAAAGGUUGAUCAUUUGGUAAUCAGGAAGAGUCAUUACACAUUUAAUUUUAAAACAAUACUUCAAGGAGCUCAAUACAAAGAGAGAAUUCCAGAGCAAUGAUUAUAUUCAGAUGACACUUGAACCAUAAUAAGUAUUUAUGCUACUCGAUUCUUAACAUUGAAUUGGCCUAGUAGGAAACCAAGGAAAUUAUUAGAUGGUGUACUGAUACCCGACCUUCCUUUUCUCUACCUAUUUCUCAGCACGGGGUCCAAAAAGGGGGCCUCUGUUUUCUCAGCCUCCUUGCAAUUGAUUGUGUUUGACCUACCUGAGAAAACAGAAGAGCACUUGAGGACAUGUCCCUCAUUGCAUGGCUAGUGCUACUUCCUCCUUUCAGUGUUGUGCUGUGAGGGUAUGAAUGGGGCUGUGGUAGCCACUCUGCCAGCCAUAAGAAGGCCAGAACCUUACAGAGUGGUUGAUGGAGUGCCCUGGAUGGAUUGGCUCUGGAAACUACCUGCACUUGUACUUCUUUGUGUGUAGUAACUAAAUCCCUCUGUUAUUUCAACAAACUCAGCAAUGUUUAAGGAGCAUCUCUAAUGUGUUUGGAGCUGUUCUAGGUACAUUAAGAGAUCUCAAUGAACAAAGAUCCUUGACAUCCUAGAGCUAAUUCUAGCCCUUCUUAGCCAGAUACUAUUACCUAUAGUUUAAAGCAUUCCCUAACAUUGAUAGUGUCAUGUAAUCUUUUGUGGGUUCAAUGCAGUUGUGUGCUGAAUUUGGCUCCUACCAGUUUUCAAGAACUUAUGAUUAAAUUCAGAAAUUUUCAGAAUCAGUUGUUAAACACAGCCAUUAUUAAAAAUUAGAUUGUAUGCACUUAUAAUUAAAUCAGUUAUAUUAAAAAACAAAUUCAUCACCUUCUGUUUACUGUCUAAUCUUUUGAGAUUUUUAUAUCUAUAGUAUUUAUAUGGUAUCAAUAGUAUAUAAUGGUGUGCUACUGUGCAUCUCUCUCAAUGUCACUUUGGUAGCUUCAAGUCUGCAAUGGUCGGAGUAAUAAUGACAUGGGAGUUGACAACUGCUACAAGUUAGGGCUUGAUUUACUGGUUUAAUGACUGUCUAGACAUAAGAAGGGAUGGUGGAAAUAUUAACAAUACAGACUAAACUUUAAGAUGGUCACAUCUGUGGUCAUUACAUUGUGAAUGGCACAAAAAUUUGAGGAAAUAUUCUUCCUGCAUUAGAAAAUUAUCAGAUUCAACAAGGAAGUCAAUAAUGUCAAUGAUGAUUAAGUGAAAGUUUGAAUGUCUUCAUUGUUUCACCCUACUUGUUAAUGUAAAUAAAAACAUCAACUGACGUUCUUGUCA
rnacentral:lncRNA from 12 species